rnacentral:rRNA from 1 species
GUCUUCUUGUUAUAUUUAGGAAGUCUGGCCUGCCCAGUGAAAUAAUUUAACGGCCGCGGUAUACUGACCGUGCAAAGGUAGCAUAAUCAUUAGUCUUUUAAUAGAGGGCUGGUAUGAAGGGUUUAACGAGGUGUUGACUGUCUCAUUUAAUUUGAAUAUUAGAAUUUAAUUUUUUAGUUAAAAAGCUAAAAUAUUGUUGGAAGACGAGAAGACCCUAUAGAGCUUUAUAUUUUUAUUAUUAAUUUAUCAUAGAUUAUUAUUACUUAUUAUUAAUAAAAAGUAUUUUGUUGGGGUGACAAAAAUAUAUAAAUAACUUUUUUAUUUUAUUUACAUUGAUAUAUGAAUAUUAGAUCCAAUCUUAUUGAUUGUUAGAUUAAGUUACCUUAGGGAUAACAGCGUAAUCCCUCUCCAGAGUUCAUAUUUACAGAGGGGCUUGCGACCUCGAUGUUGGAUUAAGAUAAUAAUUAGGUGCAGCCGCUUAAUUAAUAGGUCUGUUCGACCUUUAAAUUCUU